rnacentral:rRNA from 1 species
UACGGAGGGGGCUAGCGUUGUUCGGAAUUACUGGGCGUAAAGCGCACGUAGGCGGCGAUUUAAGUCAGAGGUGAAAGCCCGGAGCUCAACUCCGGAACUGCCUUUGAGACUGGAUUGCUAGAAUCUUGGAGAGGCGAGUGGAAUUCCGAGUGUAGAGGUGAAAUUCGUAGAUAUUCGCAAGAACACCAGUGGCGAAGGCGGCUCACUGGCCCGAUACUGACGCUGAGGCACGAAAGCGUGGGGAGCAAACAGG